UUUUCAGUAAAUCAAACGUUUAUCAGUUCAUCAUGCAGCUUUGAGUUUCUAUUAGAAGGAACGGGUGAAAUAAUUUUGACAAAAAAAAAACACGCACGUACAAUGCCAGGAGGAAGAUUUUUUCCUGUAGGAAACUCAUCACCUAAACCAGUUUAUCAACCGCCACCACCACCUCCACCACCGAAUGUUCCAGUCAGUGAUAAAAGAGGGACGCCAAAUACCGGACCCAAAAUUGUUCAGACUUGACAGUAUAGUCCAGAAAAUACACUUUAGUACAUGAAAAUGAAUGUUUUGCAUAAAUUGUUUGACUAAAAAUGCUAUUAAAAAAUUAGUUCAAAAGCUUAUCUUAUGACGACA